GAGGCGAACCUUUCCUUCUCCCUCGCCCUCCUGCUUCUGAGCCCAGGCGAAGCUUGGCUUUGACUUUCUGCCCUGCCUGGAGGACUUUCUUUCUCCCAGCCUUCCCUGGGCCCCUUCGCCCGGUUCUGCAGGCGGGUUUCUCGGGAAUUGGCCUCUCGGGCACCCAGUCAACAAACAAACAAGCACACAAAGCAACAAACAAACGCAUGGGGGGGGGGCAUGAUGGGAGCGAAGGGGAGCUGUAUGGGGUUGUUGUGUUUCUUCCUCUUUUUCUGCUUGGUCCUGCAUCUCCCCUCUUCGCCUCCUAAGCCUGUUAGGGACACAUUCUCAUGUCCUUAAACGUACAAGCAGAUAAUUGUUGGCGCUCUAUCUUUGUGCGAAGGAGGCCAGGGUGUAAAUGCCUUUUAAUGACUGCAGCUGCUGGCUGAAAACUGUCAAUGGAAUUGGCUAAUGCAGAGCCCCCGGAAAAGAAAAAGAGAGAGAGGGAGAAUCAGAGAGAGAGAGAGGGAGAGAGAGAGAGAGAAAGGCUUUUGCGAGGGAGCUGCUGAGCCUCAGCGCCGCUGGAGCCGGAGAAGGCGAAAAAAAGAGAGAGAUGGACAGACAGGCAGACAGACAGACAGAAGGAGAAGCAGGAAAAAGAAGGAGGAAAGACGGCGCAAAAGAUUGGAGGAGCGAGCGGCCGUCCGCAGCCACCGAGCCAUCAUCCACUGGCUCUUCCGCCUCUCCUCCGAGUCCUGCUGCCUUUGAAAAUCCUUUCCGGAUCCUCUCCCCUUCCAAGUCUUGAUCUUCUUCUGAUUUCUUAACUGCACUCUCCAUUCCGAUUCAUGAAGGAGCCAAGAUAACCCUCUCAACCCGUCCGACAGAAGGGAGCCCAGAGGCUGCAGCAAAGGGAAGCGGAGGAGGACUGAAGGGAGGGGAGAUCAAAUGAAGGGAAGCCAAGGGUUCCCCUAACAACAGGUUUGCCCUUCUUCCUGGAAGGCCUACAACGUGGUGUGAGUAUAAGUGCCUAUGGAAUUCAAAGGGUUGCCAUAAAUAGCUGAUAGCUGACUUAAAAACAUUGACAGCCUCUGACUCCUUAUGGCAGUGGUUCUCAACCUGUGGGUCCACAUGUGUUUUGGCCUUCAACUUCCAGAAAUCCCAGCCAGUUUGCCAGCUGUUAGGAUUUCUGGGAGUUGAAGGCCAAAACAUCUGGGGACCCAAAAGUUGAGAACCACUGCCUUAUGGUGACCCAUACAUUUUAUGGGAUUUUCAAGGCAAGGAAUAUUCAGAUGUGGUUUUGCCAGGUCCUUCCUCUGAAUAUAGCCUAAAAGCACCUGGUAUAUUUUUAGUCCUGUUAAAGAUGUAGAUAUUUUUCAGGAAUUGCAAACAAUGUAUACAAUGCCAGAAUUACAAGCUGUUAAAGGUGUGUGUGUGUGUGUGUGUGUGUUGGGGUUUGCUUCUAAGACACCCUCUGGAUACCAAAAUCUAUGGAUGCUCAAGUACUAUUAAGUACCAAUGGCAUAGUCAAAUGGUGUCCCUUUUAUAAAAUAAACAAACUUUAUUUAUUAAUAUAAUCCAGCUUUCUUCAGAUGGUUUGGUGAAUUUAUUUUUAUGUCAGGGAGUUGUACAACAUUUGAUACCACUUUUUACAAGUGUUUCUUUCUUCCCCGGAACCUUGUUUUGGGCCAACAAGUGACGGAUGAUGGACCGGAUGGACCGGUAUCAGUCCACAGAUCCAACUUUGACUAGUAUUGAUUUGGUUCACAAUUUCUUCCAUGCAGGGAAACCACAGAUAAAGUAUUUGUGACAGACGGACAUACAAACUCUGUUCAAAACUCUCCAAGGAAAAAGAGUCCUGCAUUCUCUAAGGUGGUAUUCUAUUUUCUAACUGUGCUUAUCCAGGGGACAUUUUCCCUAAAGUUUAGCACAAAUCUCCUGUGCCUCUGGUUUCACUCUCUGGGGCAAAACUCUUGCUCCAUCUUCUUCAGUUACCUAUUGAAUGUUUACUUUGCUUAUUUGCUUUAAAAAGCAAGCAUUUUGGUGACUAAAAUACAUUAAGAACAAAUUCAACAAUGGGAAAUGUUAAAAUCACCACAAUAACCCAUAAAAAGUACUGAGAAUGUGGAAUAAAUCAACUGAGUUGAAUUCAAAUUGAGUCACUCUUAGCAAAGACCCAACUGGAGUGUCAGGACUUUAAGAUGGUCCUAUAAGUCUCAUGAUAAGGCAUGUGUUCCAGCUAUGAUUUAAUUUACUCUUUCUUCACACAGGCAAGGAUAGCAAUUUCACUAUGGCCCCUUCUACACUGCCAAAUAAUCCAGAUUAUCAAAUCAGAUAAUCCACAUUAUCUGCUUUGAACUAGAUUAUCUGCGUCUACACUGCCAGAUAAUCCAGUUCAAAGCAGAUAAUCUGGAUUUUGUGUGGCAGUGGAGAAGGGCCCUUUAUUUUAGGACUAGACAAAGUCUAAUUGUUGCUUAACUACUUUUAAAAUAUAUCCAGCAUUUCUCACAUCCAUCACUUGCAAAGUGCAAUGAUUCCAGAUCUUGGAAUCUUAUUCAAGUAUCCUUGCUAGCCAGAGGGUCCUGAAAGUUGAAACCCCAAAAGUAACUUUUCAUCAACUUUAUUUUUUUUUCUUGAAUGGUUUUAUAUGGGUGGCUUCCAGUAAGUCUUUGUUCCCCUUUAUGUCUGACAAUUCUUUUGCAAGAUUACUGUCAUAAGAGUUAUUGUGUGAAUGCAAUGUAAUUUCACAUGCUCUGAUAAUCUAACACAAAGUUAUACAAAAAUAAAUAUAUUUAGAAAAAGAAGAUUUUUUUAUUUAAAAAAGAAUGUUAUUUUCAGGAAACAUUUUAAAAUGAUUAAGUUCAACCUGUUUCAAGAUAUAGAGCCAAAAUCACAAUUAAUGUCAAUGUCUUAUACAUGCUUACUGAGACCCCUUCCACACAGCUGAAUAAAAUCCCACAUUUUCUGCUUUGAAUUGGAAUAUAUGGCAAUGUGGACUCAGAUAACCCAGUUCAAAGCAGAUAUUGUGGGAUUUUCUGCCUUGAUAUUCUGGGUUAUAUGGCUGUGUGGAAGGACUCUAAGAAACAAGUCACCCCGACAUCAGGGGUUUACUUGGUAGUUCUGAUGUAAAACAAUGUGAUAUUCAUUAAAUUAUGCAGUGCACCAGUGUCUCAAAAAGUUACUUUUUGAACUAGAUCAUUGGACAACACUGGCAAUAAGAUUCUGAAUGUUAUAAUCCUCAGAAGUAACUUUUUCAAGCACUACACUACAUGUGGAUACAAGUAUUUCUUUCUUAUCCCUUUCUCUUAAAAAUAAGUAAACUAAUGAUUGCUUUUUCAUUUUCUCUCUCUUUUCAACAAAUAUCACACAUAUACAGGAGUGAUGAAGAAAUCUAUGAUCCUUUGGAUGUUUAUAGGACUCCAGAUCCCAUUAUCCUUACACAUGUGCCCUAGGGUUGAUGAGAGCUGUCUGUGUUUUGUGGACCCACAGAUUCCUCUCGUCAGUUUUAAACUAAACAUUACAAUGCAAGUAGGAAAGCAAUAAUUUACGGGGACUUGCAAUGCUAAACAUAUAUGCCAGGAAACUAUUAUAAUUAAAUAUCUCCCAACUUGGUGUCUUCCAAAUGCUGUGUGCCCCAGAUCUUCUCCAUUCUUACAAGGUAGGCAAACUCUGCAAUACAGCAGUUACAAUUUUUUUUAAUCUUAUCAGAAGUGACUUGAGAACAUACUGCAAUUCACUUCUGGUGCGAAAGAAUUGGCCAUCUACAGAGACGCUGCCCAGGUGACACCCAUAUGAGUUGGCUGGGAGGCUUCUCUCAUGUUCCCACAAGCUAAAACUGACAGACGGGAGCUCACCCCAUCUCCCUGAUUCGAACCAACAACCUUCAGGUCAGCAACCUAGCCUUCAGGUCAGCAGUUCAGCCGGCACAAGGGUUUAACCUAUUGUCCCACCGUGGCUCUCCAGCAGUUAUAAUUGUGCAUGUGUAUCUGCCUUUGUUACUCAAAGAAUACUCAGAGGAGGCUUGUCAUUCCCUUCCUCUGAAGUGUAGCCUACAGCACUUGGUAUUCAUUGAUAACUUCCUAUGCAAGAACUAACCUGAAGUAACCCUGCUUAGCUUUCAAAACCAACCAGGAACGGGUGCCUUUAGGAUAUUUAGGGAUACUGCACAAAGAGUAAUUAAGACUUACUGCAAUUAAACUGUAGACAUGAAGUAAUAAGAUAGCAGUGGAGCUGUAGACAUGAGAAACAUAACAUAACAGGAGCUGCAUUGAACAAAUGUGGGUUGUAUAAUGGUGUCAUCUUAAAAUAAGUAACACUGAUAUUAUCUUUUUUUUAAGGCAUAUAAAUGCAUACGUUAUCCAUAGCCCAAUUAACACAAGUACUUGGAUUAAAUAAGAUUAGUAUAUCCUGAUCCCAGUCAGCUUAUAUUUGGUUGAUCCCCGAGGGAACUUUCAGCUCAUCUUCUGGAAUCUGGUGCAGUUUCUUGCUUAGGGAGGCUCAUGCCACAAGUGCCUGCCUUUUGUACUCCCUCCCCCACAAAGUUACAUGUGUCAUAGAAAGUUGAGAGGAAGAGAUGUACAACUGGCAGGUGCACUUUUCUUCUUCCUUGGAGAAACAGACAGAAGGAGGUGUUGCAUCUCUCUAUGACUGUGCAAUGCACACAUUCCAAAUCGGAGGAAAGAGCCAAGCAUCCCUUCAUAGGAAAAAGGACGUCCUCUUCCACUUCAGUACACAUUUCAGCAGAAUUUGGGAAAGUUACUGUGAGCAUGGCCAUCGAGCAGUUGUCAUCCUAAGAAGUAACAUUUCCAAGCUCUUCAUGACUCUGAAAGCAUGAUGGUUCUGUUUGAUCUUUGAGACAAAAUCAUGAACACAGUUCUUAACCAGGUUUUGGUUUUCAUUUUGUUAUUUCAUCUGUAAUUUAUUCUAGUGUGGAGGUUGAUAGUCCCAAAGGAGCAACUUCCCAAGUUUGGGGAUAAUGCACAGGUGACUAUAAAUAAUUUGGGGAGAAAUGCUCACUCUUAUGCUUUUAGCACAAAAAUCGAUGAACAAAUCAAUGAAUGAAUGAAGCCUUAUAAUGUAAACAUGGAUGAGUUAACCUUCAAGGUCCCUUAAAACCCAAUAGUCCCAGGCAAAACUCACAAUGAAAAGGGAAGCAGGUACCCAUGCCAUCUGGACAGGGAAGAUGAUACAAGUCUUUCCCACCCUCUUGAUCUUCAUAGGUGACCUAAUUGGUUGGUGUGACAGAACUUUCCCCAUAACUUUGCCCAUGUGCUUAUGUGAGUAUUUGCCUGUAAACACAUUCUUUGUGUGUCUCUGUAAAGCAGAAUAUAUUUUUCUUUCUCAACCACUCACCCAUAUUCAUGGUGCCUGUCCCCCCCCCCCCCCCCCCCAAUAUCAAUCUUCUCUCCUCAAUGGCUGCUCGGCUUUUUUAUUUCAUCAGCCAGCCUAUUCAACAAGUGACAAUUUCCUUUGCCAAAUAACUUUUGGGCAUUCCAAUUCAACAGUUAACACAAUCACCAAAGCCCAUCUUCUAGUUCAGUGUUUCUCUAACUCUGCUCCUCCAGAUGUUUUGGACAUCAGCUCCCACAAUUCUUAACAGCCGAUAAACUGGCAGGGAUUCCUGAGAGCUGAAGUCCAAAACACCUGGAGGAGCACAGUUUGAGAAACAUUGUUCUAUCCAUACUGUCUGAUGGGUCCUCUUGGCAGUGGAGACACAAAUCCACUCCAGGUUUACCGGAGCUAAAUCCGGUGCUGAAUCUACCUCCCCCCCCUCCCCCAUUGCUUCAACAGUUCCUCAAACUGAUCCUUUAGUUUUUAAACCUGGAACAGAUUCAUCACUCCGUUGAUAUGGACACCACUUUUUCAAAUUACAUGUUUUUGCUCUGACAAGCAGUAGCUUUAUUGGUUGGCUUUCUCAUUCCCUACUGCCCAAUACUUUGUUCUACACGCUUCUCCAUGCUCUGACAGUGAGCUAUCGCUCAUCCCAUCUUGUAUGAACAAACCCUCAGCAAAACCAGUCAGUAACUGGUCUGUUAAUAAAUAUAAGUAUAUAUUGGAUUACAUUGCUCUGUUACAACCCUCCCAUGUAUAUACUCCCAGUGGUGUAUUUAUAAAGAGAGUACUGUCCUUGGGACAAUUUCUUGGAUCUCCAUAGAAAGUCUAAAGAUGUAGAGGAAUGAAAUAUACAUAAUGAAAUAUAGGGAAUCAUUGUUGGGGAAAACUAUUUCUCCUUCAGUUACUGCAAAAAAAAAAGCAAUUAAAGCCAGGCUGGAGAAAUCAUAGGGAGAUAUAAUUGUAAAAAGAGAUAAAGGCGUAACACAUUGUAUUAAGUAGACCUUCUGGCAUAAUAAAGGUAAAGGUAAAGGUUUUCACCUGACAUUAAGUCUAGUCAUGUCCAACUCUGGGGGUUGGUGCUCAUCUCCAUUUCUAAGCCAAAGAGCAAGCGUUGUCCAUAGACACCUCCAAGGUCAUGUGUCCAGCAUGACUGCAUGGAGCGCUGUUACCUUCCCACUGAAGUAUUACCUAUUGAUCUACUCACACUUGCAUGUUUUCAAACUGCUAGGUUGGCAGAUGCUGGAGCUAACAGUGGGAGCUCACCCCACUCCCCGAUUUGAACCGCUGACUUUUCAGUCAGCAAGUUCAGCAGCUCAGCGGUUUAACCCCUUGAGCCACCGGGGGCUCCCUCUGGCAUAGUAAAUUAAGAUCCAAAAGCCUAUCUAAAUAAAAUAGCCUUUAUCCACUGGUGGAAAGAGUAGGGGCCAAUUGAGCUUCCCAUGAGAGGGACUACAAUAACAUGGAGUAGCAGAUAGGAAGGGUCUGUCCUGUGUCCAUGAUGGUGGUGGGAUGGAGGGAAGUUCAUGAAGGUUUUUAAAGUUAGCCUAACUCAUAGUCCUGCUAAGCAUAAAUUCUUGGAGUUUUAAUCUUGCAAGACCUGACUCUACUGUAUUCCCCACCCUACCUUUUCUGAACUCAUCUCUUAGUAUUGUGGCAUUAGCUGGGCAUAGCCUCACCUAAAUUAUAUUUUCAGCCACUAUAACCCAUUGCUAUAUAAUUAGGACAGAUUUUACUUGUUAGUUAGCUAAUACUGAAACAGUUUAUAUUACUUGUGGAGAAUAUUUAACAUAUGCUAUUACGUUUAACCUUGUUUUAUCUUUGCGAAGUUAAUAGUUUUGUGUAGUAUAAGGCAGGUUUCCCUUAAGCACACAAGCCAGUCACAUACAUACAGAAAUCACAAAUGUAUUACAAAUGUGCUUUAAGCCAGUUCCUGCACAAUAUAUACUGGUUGCAUCUAAAUUAUUAACACUUCCCCCUGUUCACCUAAUCCCUUAUGUCUUUUAUUAUAAUCCUACACAUUACAGUUAAUCUGUAAUGAUACCGCUUCAGAGGGACCUGUUGCCCACAGUGAUAGUAAUUUGUAACCUUGGAAACACUUUUAAAUAAUGAAUCGAACAAUCAUGUCUACCGUAUUUCUACAGUGGGAGGGGGCUAGGGAUUACUGGGUUUGUCAGAGAACAAAUUUAAGGACAAUGAUUAGGGCAGAUUCAGCAUUCCGAGUUGCCUUAUUUUAUUUUAAUUUUACAUGAAAGGAUAAAGGGUUAUUUCAGCUGAUUUGGCUGGCUUCCUUUGGUUAGAUCUGUUCAUGAGAUAUAUAUGAUCUGGAUAAAAUAAGAACCACUCUAUAAAUAUACAACUCAGUAAUCUAGAGUAAAUAUUAAAAACGCUUGCAAUGAACUGCACAUAUUUAUAGAAUCCCCACUGUUGAUCCUCAGAGGUUAAUGCAACAUAGGAAAGGCAUACACAGUUCUCAAAUUCACAGUAGAACAAUAGAUCUACUCUAAUUGGAGCCAAACAAUAGGUUUAGGCUUCUUCAUCUCCCACCCAGCCAGUUAGACCUCUCAUCCUCAAAAAGGGGUUUGUCAAUUAAAAAUACUGCAUUUCACCACUUCUAAGGCACAAUUUUCCUGUUUUAGGGAUUCAACAAACAGAGUGCACCUUACAAUCAAUGGUGCCUCAGAUUAGCUGUUUUUAAGGGAUUUUUAAAAUUGUCUUACCUACAACAGAGGAGGAGGAGAAAGGACCCCAGCCUGAAAUGGUUUUGGGUUUCUAAAAAUUGUUUUACUCAUGAGGGAGGAAGAGUUGAGGGGCAGCCACAAUGACUCUGCCAGAUGCCUGUCAUUUUAUUCUCAGCCUCAGCCAGACAGCUGUUGAUUGUCCAGGUGAGCUCACUACCUCUGCCUGCUUCCAUUGCCUUACCUGUGGGCCCAUAGAGGUAGUUUAAAAGACUCAUGCAAACAGGUUGACUUCUGGGUUGAAACACAAAGAAUUACGCAUGCAGAGGGAAUUUUAAAAAAUCAAAAGAAAGUCUUUUUUUGCAAAACUGAAGCUUCAGAAAUGGGGUGUGCCUUACAUGUGAUUGCAUCUUCGAUUUCAUAAAAUAUGAUAUAUAUAUUUAAAUAACUUGAAAAUACAGGUGCACUUUUCUUUCCCCCCAUUUUUCUCCCCCACUUUUUUUUUUAAAGAAAAGGAUGUAUUAAAAGAGAGAGUGCAGACAAAAGCAAUGUUACAUGGAAACGAAGUGUAUAUAAAUGCGAGCACCAAUGGAAACUAAGUGUAAGCAAGAUAUUGUAAAGUUGAACCAAUAAAAACAUUGGUGUUUUUUUUUAAA